rnacentral:lncRNA from 1 species
CCCAACAGCAUAUGGGCUAGUGCUCCAUUAGACGCGUACACAGAUGCAUAUGUCAAGUGUGAUCGCAGAGGAGGGAGAGAAUGGAUCUGCUCCAAGACUGGGACGACGUCGGAGUAGCCAUGGGGCUGCACAGCAAAUCCGAUAGUUGAAUGGUGUGGCUGCUGCUGUGCUCCGACGGCAGGACAGCGAGGCAGAGCAACUCCGGUAAUCGGCGCUAGCAACUGCAAGGCUGUGGAGGUCCUAGGGUUAUGUGGCGGCUGUUCUGCAAUUCCAGCAGCUGAAGGUGGCUGCAAAGCACUAGAAGACGACUACAAGGCGUUGGCAGCCACGAUUCC